GAUGAACGCUGACAGAAUGCUUAACACAUGCAAGUCGACUCGAGUCUUCGGACUUGGGUGGCGCACGGGUGAGUAACGCGUAAAGAACUUGCCUCUUAGACCGGGACAACAUCUGGAAACGGAUGCUAAUACCGGAUAUUAUGGUUUUUUCGCAUGGAGGAAUCAUGAAAGCUAGAUGCGCUAAGAGAGAGCUCUGCGUCCCAUUAGCUAGUUGGUGAGGUAACGGCCCACCAAGGCAAUGAUGGGUAGCCGGCCUGAGAGGGUGAACGGCCACAAGGGGACUGAGACACGGCCCUUACUCCUACGGGAGGCAGCAGUGGGGAAUAUUGGACAAUGGACCACAAGUCUGAUCCAGCAAUUCUGUGUGCACGAUGACGUUUUUCGGAAUGUAAAGUGCUUUCAGUCGGGAAGAAGUCAGUGACGGUACCGACAGAAGAAGCGACGGCUAAAUACGUGCCAGCAGCCGCGGUAAUACGUAUGUCGCAAGCGUUAUCCGGAUUUAUUGGGCGUAAAGCGCGUCUAGGCGGCAAGGAAAGUCUGAUGUGAAAAUGCGGAGCUCAACUCCGUAUGGCGUUGGAAACUGCCUUACUAGAGUACUGGAGAGGUAGGCGGAACUACAAGUGUAGAGGUGAAAUUCGUAGAUAUUUGUAGGAAUGCCGAUGGGGAAGCCAGCCUACUGGACAGAUACUGACGCUAAAGCGCGAAAGCGUGGGUAGCAAACAGG
rnacentral:rRNA from 1 species